GGGAGGGAGGGAGGGAGGAAGAGAUAGAGGAGUGAGGGGCGGGUUGGGGGAGACGGAUGGGGGGAGAAGAGCAGCGCUGUUGUUCAUUAGUCGGAAGGAAGAACAAAUAAAGCCAAAGAAAGAAGAAGAAGUCGGGAGUUACUCCGGGCCAGUGAGCAGCCGGGGCGUUUCCCAGCAUGCACCGGGCCACGGGAAAGGGGACGCACCUCGGGGGGGGAUUAACAACCUGGCGUCGGGUGCGCUUUGCAUGCUGGGAUGUGGCCUCGUUACCUGUCGCUAGCGAACGACCGCCCGAGGCCACAAAGUCAGUAAACGUGGAGUGAGAGUGGGCGGGGCUUAAUCAAAGGAAAAAGCCAAGAGAACAUUUCCGCCCAGGAUUCUUCUAAAUGUGCCACGUGACAAAUACGGACGCCGUCACCCGAUUGGCCCGGGACGCACGGCGGGAACGACGGCCUGCAACACAACGACCGGGUUGUUGGUUUGUGUCCCAGACCUCUGCUCAAGGCCCUCGGAUGCCACGAGGGCCCAGAGGGGGCUUAACGUGCUGGAAAGCUGGCGAACGACACACACACACACACACACACACACACACACACACAUGGAAACUCAGUGCGCACGGGAGAUUUAUACGCAGAAAUCCAUCAGGGAGGAUUCUCCCAUAAGUCAUCACUCCUUUUUUUUUUUUUUUUUUUGCAGGCCGGCCACUUAUGCAAAGCAGCGGCGAGGAAGGGGCGAGCGGCCGGCGUGUGAUCGGUGCGUCAGCUGCACGGAAAAAACAAACGUGUUGUUGAGGGAAAACGCCGAGGGGAAAAAAAAGGAACGGGAGAAUAACUGAAUAACAGUUUUUUUUCAGAGGAGACGAGAUGUGGCGUCUCUGCUCUCCGAAGGCUCCGUCGCGUCCGUGCUGGAUGAUUCCACGCUUGUGUCUGACGCCAUAGCGGGGGGGCGAAGCGCCGGUCGCGGGAAAGCGAGGAGUUAACGACGCAAACAGCGGCGUCGACGGAGGAAAUGAAAGUGCGAACGAGGGUCGUGACCCCACGAGCGUGACCCUGGCGACGCAAGUUUCCAAUUUACGCUAAUUAUUACAAGAUGAGAAAGAGAGUGUGUGUGUGUGUCUGUGUGUGUGUGUGUGAGUGUGAGAGGAUGCUCCAGGCUCACAUAUGAAACCGAUCGCCUCCCACUGAAGGUUCAACGAACUCCAGCACAUUAUAUUAACGUGAAGAUAAAUGGCUUCACAACACACCAACACACUGCUACUUGUCUUCAGUGUGUGUGUGUGUGCCAUCCACAUCUGUGGAUGUUUAUCACAUCAUUGAGGAGGGACUGACAGAGGGGGGAGGGGGGGGACACAAAUUAAGAUGGAGAGAGAGAGAGGGAGAGAGGGGGGGGAGCUAAUGAGGACGAUUGUGUUCUUCCAGCCGACCAUGUCGGUCUCGGCUACCGGAGAAAGCGCCGUUUGACUCUCGGGAGACGGGAACGCAGGGACAUCGAGAGGCAGAGGCGCUGAAUCGUUGAAUAGGAGCAUGAACGAGGCUUAAAAAGGUCACGGAGCUUUCAAGGGAACUGAGAACCCUGAACGAUUAAACCGCUGGACCCAUUUAGUCACUCGGACUCAAAAACGCGCUGCUCCCUGGUAGGAUGAACACAAACGUCGGCUCUUUGUGCGUGCAGAGAUGAUAAUUAACUACGCUGAUCCUCAGAGGGCCCAGUGUGCUUCUGCUGCAGCAUCUUUUAUCCGUCGGCUUUCCUUCCUUCCGUCCCUCAUAACUCCCACGCUCUCGCUCAGCCUCCUCAGGUUUGUUGGUUUUGCUCAACGUGGCGGAACAACAACUCGAGCAGGAUGGAUGGAUGUGACCGACGGGGGGAUGUGGAGGGGGGCUGGAGGUCCUGCAGCUUUUACAUCUGUCUGCGUGGGCGAAGGACCCAAGAAAAGAUAAAAAGAAAAACAAACACCAAAAACCGCCUCAAAUCCGCCUCAAUUUUUAUAACUUUCAAAACACGAGACGUCUUCAGUGAUGGAACGGAGACACAACUGUGGUUUGGAGGGAGGCUGUGUGUGUGUGUGUGUAUUAUCUCACCCAUUGGCCCUUCUCUAUAAUGACAAGUGAGCGUAUUUAAUCGUUGGAUAAAACACGGGAUGGAAGAUGAAAACCAGACCGUCGCUCACCAACACGUCGGACGAGGACUGUAACUUGUGACCCGCUGGACGUUUGGCUUCCAAACAUUUGGGGGAAAUAUGCAGAGGCAAAAUAAAACAACACAGGCCACGCAUCAAAAUUCCGUUGCUGGCAAUAAAAACAGAGUAAUUGACGACUAAACGUGAUCCGAACCUCCGUCCCCUCUGAGAAGACGAGGGGACGAGGCGGGGAUCGAACACGUGGACCGGACAUGGAUCCAGAUGCACCAUCAAAGGCCGCGGAGGGGAAAAUAAGCACCUUUUAAUGGUGUCUCCAGAUGAUCUUUUGCACGUGUUUGUGUGAAUUCAGAUGUGUGUUUGUGUGCACGCGUGUGAUCAUUUGUGUGUUUGUUGUUGUUUUUCUGGUGCAGCUGGGCAGCAGAGCUCCAUCGCGUUGCACGCGGCGCUAAAACUGCAGCGGUAAUCAGCAUUAAUUCGGCACCCUUUCAUAAUAAAAGCUUAGAGGACUCGGCGCACAAGUACACAAAUAAAUCGGCGGCGUUAUGCGAGAAAAUUUAGUGCACCGAGAAUCCUGAUCGAGUAAAUCGCUUGAGGGCAGCGAGACGCUCGACCGGGAGGAGCGAGGUCAGAACCUGAGCACCGUGACCUCGAAGGAUUCUUUAAGCGUCGUCCUUUAUGAACGCCCCCCCCCCCUCACAGCAAACCAAACAAGCAUCCAGACACUAAACGCAGGAAAUUUAAAAAGGACGGGGGUAGAAAGGACAGCCGGGGACCGCGUGUGUGCACGGACACAGGAAAUACCAACUUUCUCCUACAAGCGCCGCUCAUGCAUAAAAGAUGAGGAGACAACGAGCGAACACGCA
ensembl:lncRNA